AAUUUCAUGAUAUACCGAAAAUUUUAUUUAAUUAAAAUUGAAAAUUUAAUUAAAAUAAUUUCAUAAUAACACCGGUCGAUUUGUUUUGAAAUUUAUGAUGGCAAUUUGCGCAGUUAAUGGUGGUGUAUGAGUCUCCACUUUAAUGUUAUUAUUAAAGAAUGUUGAGAUUUGUAAUUAUGAUGUAGUCAUGCAGAUAAAGAAAUAUUGUGUAAAGCCAGUUUAGAAUGAGAAAGAAGAGCAAAAGACAACUGGAAGAAAAACGGUAGUAGAUAUUCGAUAAGACUUGUUGCCAGUAAUGUAAGUAGCAGGCAGGAGGUCAAAAUAAGAACAACAUGUGUUACACCUGACAGGUCGUGGCUGCUUAAAGAGCAGAUGUACUCUAAGCUGUGAUGAAGACUGACUGACUCACUCAAGCUACACAUGUAGGACACGUCCUCCCGAUGAAGUGUUUAGAGAGCAGAGAUAAGCUUUGGAGAACUGCCACGUGGUGCUUACAAGGAUAUGAGGGCACAUCUUUACAUCCUUAGUGUUUAAUUGACAGUUUGGACAUACACCAAGCCGUGCACACCAACGCGUCUGACGAGACAGAAUGGGAUCAUCAGUGCUUUCGACGGCAUUAAAAUUUAAGGUUGUAUUCAAUUUUCUGAUUAUAACUAGGAGUCUUCCCGAAAAAUUAUCUAUAAAAUUAUUUUUCUAAUUGGGUUGAUAUUAUUGACUUUGUCUUAGCAUAGACAUAUGCAUCUUCAGUAGUUACAAUAUAGUUUUACACCACGUCUCGUCUUGAAGCAGCAUCAAUCACUGAUUUUCAUAUCAAACAUAGAGGGUUUACAUUUAUUAGACGAAUCUUCUAUUUAUACGAGGUAAAUUCUUCAUCAUUCAGACAGCUCUAUGUAAUGACUAUGGUUCACCACAUUGACAAUACUUUAUUGUUCUUGUGAGUAUGUAGCCUGUACACUAAUUAGACUGGCUAACUUUAUGGACAUAACGUAGCUUUAUUAUUACUUUUUGGAGACAAUAUUUAUCGAUAGCUAAGUGUCCUGAUUAAAACACC